AAUAAAAUCUUUCGUGAGUUCUAGAUUAGCCGUUUGUGUGACUGUUUUGUUGAAAUCCGCAAAGUUCAGUGGAGAAACUUGAAUACCAUUAGAGCUGAAUA
rnacentral:sRNA from 1 species